CCACGCCCGCCGCCCAGACUAGGACGCCAGCUGAAGGGGGCGGGGCGAGACGGACUGUCAGUUUCCCUGAGUGGACAAUAAAGUUUCAGAAGUUUGAAAAAGGAGGAAAGAAACACCCCACGCCCCUUUGGCUGCUCCGGCGUGGACGCCUGCGGCCCUGCACGGGCAGAUCUCCAGCGGCGGUGUGCGGGCGGAGGCGUGGUGGGCGCGCGGGGAUGGGGGUCACCGUGGACGUGCACGAGGUGUUCAAGUAUCCCUUCGAGCAGGUGGUCGCCAGCUUCCUCCGAAAGUAUCCGAACCCCAUGGAUAAAAAUGUCAUCUCUGUAAAAAUUGUGGAGGAGAAAAGAGAUGUGUCGACAGGGAUCAUCUAUAGAAAGAGGAUUGCAGUCUGUCAGAAUGUGGUUCCAGAGAUGUUAAGGAAGCACUCUGGUGAUUGUUGGAAAAAGGUGAACAUUUUAAAGGUACCUAAUAUCCAGUUAGAAGAGGAGUCAUGGUUCGAUCCUCAGGAAAGGAACAUGGCUAUAAGGAGUCACUGCCUUACGUGGACACAGUAUGCAUCCAUGAAGGAAGAGUCUGUUUUCCGGGAAAGUGUGGAGAAUCCGAAUUGGACAGAGUUCAUUCAGAAGGGCAAGAUUUCCAUCACAGGGGUUGGUUUUCUCAACUGCGUUUUGGAAACUUUUGCCAGCACCUUCCUAAGACAGGGCGCCCAAAAGGGGAUUAGAAUAAUGGAGAUGCUGCUAAAGGAACAGUGCGGUGCUCCCGUCGUCGAAUAAAGAAUCACCAGGACGCCGUUGUGUUGACUUCUGAUCGAAAAUUGUUUCUUGGACACAACACAUCCAGAGACAGUGUUCGAAAUACACGUUUUCAGAUUUGGUGUUGGCAGCUUAAAGAAGAGGAGACCUUCCUGCUGGAACAUGACAUGACUGACUCCCCUGGAAGCCUGAUUCAGACAGCGAGCAGCUCUCGUGGAGAUGAGGCCUUCUGGCUGAUUCUUAAGGCACCAUCUCUACGAUUUUACCGACGAAGGAAAAAACCCAUAGAAGAUGAUACGAACUCUUCUGCAGGGUGUCCUGCUCAUCACCUGGUGACAGUGUCAGGGCACCAGGGAUGGGCCAGAGGUCGGGGCGGGGAGGGGGGGUGUUUGCCUGUCUGUUCUCUGAAUCAUUGCUCACAGGACUCAUGAGAAGAUUCUGGGACAAAUAAAGGAGUUAAACUUAUUCUUCCUUAGAAGAAUAGGUUCAGAGGCCUCUUUGGCCUCAAACAAAUAGGAAUGUACCAGACUGUGUUGAAACUAAGCCACACUGAUAGUGUUGAAAAUUCUUGGAAAUCAGGAGCCUUUGAUUUCCACCCACCGAUUCUACGUAACUGCCAUCAGUACAGCUUUUGAGAUCUAGCACGAGGGCUGUGAUUCGUCCUCUAAAGAACCUGGAGGUGGGGGAGGCGGACCAGCAUCCUGGCUCCUCCUGACUCCUUCUGGGAUGCGGAGGGCGUCCUAUAACCUCGCUGCUUUUCACUGGGCCAGUGGGGCUAAUCGGGCACAGAUCUUUCUGCUUGUGAUGAUUAAACAAGGUCGGCGUGAAAAGCACUGGUUGGGAGUCAGACAGACUCUGGCCUGAUUCCCAGUGCGGUCGCCCGUCAGCUCUGUGAUCAUGACGCAGCCCCUCCUUGCUCCUGGCAGAAGCUGUAUCUUCAAGUUCUUUGUCCACAGGGAACAGAUGACAGCUGCUCAGCCUGAGACCCACCUACCUCCUGUCUCACGUCCUCAGACACUGCAGACACUCAAAUCCUGUUCUGCUGGUGGAAAAGCUGGAGGAGCCAUGAUGAAGGCCACCUCUAAUGAAUUCCCCACAUUCCCACGUGCCUCAGAGUCACCCUUCCCUCCCAGCAGCAUGGCCUUUGCCUGUCGGUGUCUCAUAAGGUAAAAUGGGGUGAAUAUGCCGUGAAUGAAUGGAGCAAGCCUUGCCAUCAAGGGCAUUGCCCGUGAUUUUGAGGACGGAGUUAACAUAGAGCUCAUGGUUAUUGAGAAGGAAGUGUGGAAGUAUGAAGAACAUUUACCCAAUAUUAAAAUUUAUUUUUCAGUGUGACCUAUUUUGGGGGGAGAGACAGUGACGUUUCUACUUUUGUUCAGGGAAAACAUGAGUCAGGAAUCUUUGUGUCAAUUUAAUGUUUUUAACCUACCCUUGUCUCCUAAACAGAGGUGGUAACAGACAAACCAUCUCCUUCUAACCAGGCUGUUUACAGUGUUUAACCCAGGGUGCUUGUUAAAAUCAAAGGGAAGGGGUAAGAUAACCAAUGUAAGGAAAAACUAAUGAAGCUGUAUUUUCUGAUUCUUGUAAUUGUAGUGGUGUGGUUGGUUCUGCUACAGUGAAGCUCUUAUUUCCAGUAAGAAACCUCUUUUCUCGUUUACUCUCUCAUACAUUUUAACUGUCAUGCAGAUGGAAAUUGUAUGGCAGCUGCCAGCAGGAAUGACCUUAGUUUUUGUUUACAAACACAAAGCUUUCUAUUGAGAAUGCUGACGAUAUUACUCAGCUGCUUUGUUGAAACAGCCCAUCAUGGUCAGACCUGAGUUUCCCUUCACAAAGUGAAAUUUGACAGUGAUUGUGGCAUUAAAUUAAGAUUAAAAUACAACAAAUCUAAGUAUCUGAUUCAAUUCAAAUGCAGUCCAGAAGCUUGAACUAGAAUCGUAGUUACGCUCUGUCCUGUCUGUGGAUGUAGGCUCUCUGGGCUUCAUUGUUUGCCCCCAUAUGGGAUGGAGUAAUAAUAGGGCCUGCUUUAUAGGGCUGUUGAAAGGAUUAAAUGGGUUCAAGUCCUAUAAAAACAGUUGGAAUGGAGCAGUGCCUGGCAUAUAGUAAACACUCAGCAGUCUACACAAGAGACUGUGGUGUUAAUUCUUUAAACAUUUGGUAGAAUUCUCCAGAGAAACUAUUCAAGCCUGAAGUUUUUGUUUUAGGGUGAUUUUUAACUACAAAUAUGGUCUAUGUGAUAGUUUUAGGGCUAUUCAAAUGUUCUGUUUCAUACUGGGUGUGUUGGGGUAGUUUUGUGUUUUUCGACGAAUCACUGAAUAUUACAUAGGUUGUUAAAUUGGUGUGUGCUGAAUUGUUUGCAGUAUUUUUAUAUUAUCUUUUGAAUAUCCGCCUGGUUUUUAAUGAUAUGCUCUGUUUGUCAAUCUUAGUGAUCUUUUCCAAGAACUAGUUCUUGGUUUUCCUGAUGGUUCUCUUUUGCUUUUCUGUUAUAUUUUAUGGACUUUUGCUCUUCAUAAUUCCUGUCUCCUGCUCGCUGUGUUCUUUUUCUCUUUUAUCCUACUGCUUGUUCCCUUCUUUUCUAUGUCUUGAGACAGGAGCUUAGAUGAUUUUUCUUGAAACUUUUCAGCUUGUUAAUGUAUUCAUGUAGUGCUAUAAAUUUCCCUUCUAGCCCUGCUUUAACUGUUGGACAAAUUUUGAUAAUGGUGUAUUUUCAUUUUCAUUUAGUUCAUUGUAUUUGAAAGAAGCCUCUUGAGCCUUUCUUUUUGACUCAUGGAUUGUUGAGACGUGUGUUGUUUAGUCUUCCAAUUAGAGAUUUUCUAGAUGUUUUUAUGCUCUUGAUUUUUUAAUCUGAUUGCACUGUGGUUGGAGAACACGCCCUCUAUGAUUUAAAUUCUUUACAUCUACUGAGGUUUGUUUUCUGGCCCAGGAUGUAUAAACUAUCUUGGUGUAGGUUUCAUGGACCCUUGAAAAGAAUAUUUAUUUAUUUUUUUUUGUCUUUCUAAAGUUUGCUUACAACGUGUUUUGUUGUGGAUAUCUCGGAGUAUAUACUGCUUGGUAAUUGCUCAGCUUUUUGAAUCUGAGGCUUUAUAUCUUUUGCCAAAUUUCAGAAGUUUUCAGUCUUUAAAGUACUCUUUCAGCCUCAACUUAUUUAUCCUCUCCUUCUGGAACUAUGAUGACAGGAAUGUUAGAUUUUUUUGUUAAACUCACAUAGGUCCCUGAAGCUCUGUUUGUUUUUGUUCAGUCUAUUUUGUCUGUUCAGAUUGAGCAAUUCUAUUGUUGGAUAUUUCAGUUUGAGCCUAUCCUUUGGAUUAUUUACUUAUUAUGUUUUAUAAUUCUAAAAUUUCCAUUUAGUGCUUUGUGUCUUCCUUUGCUUGGACUCUCUAUUUUGUGAUUUGUUUCAAACACGUUUGCAAGUACUCACUGAAGCACUUUUAUGAUAACUACUUAAAAAUAUUUGCCAAAUAAUUCUAACGUCUCUUUUAUCUUGGUGUGGAAUAUUUUGAUGCUCUUGUUUUCAGGUUGAGAUCCCCCUGGAUCUUGACAUGAUGAAUGAUGUUUAAAAAAGUGAAACCUUGGCAUUUCAGGUAUUAUGAGAUUCUGAAACUUCUUUAGAUACUCUGUUUUUUUUUUUUUUUUUUCCUGGCUUACUGGAAUAGCACUCUAGCAGGGGAAUUGUGAGUGCUGCCUCAUUAGUGACACAUAUUUCUCCAUUGACAUCUGAGAGAAAGAAGAGCCUUGCUACAGCUUGAUGGGAGUGAUGGUUCUGGCUCCCUCCUGGACAGCAGUGAUACCUCCUGGGCUGGGAGGGAUUAGAACGCCUCAUUACCACUUGGCACAUAGGCUCUACUCAUACUGUGGGAUUGGUGAAUGUCCUAACUCUCCUAGGUCCCCUCUGACAUCACCUGUACAGGAAGGGAAAAGAAAUACCCUGUUGCUGCCAACUGUAGUGGAAGUCCAGGUUCUUGAUGAAGAAUCACUGGAAGGUGAUUUAAUACCACUUGGCGGGGAUGAACGUGCUGUUCCUACUCCUUCCUUGAUACCAUCCUGGCAAGUGGCUUGUGAAUUCCUGUUAAAGCCCAGGGAGGGAAGUCUAGGCUCCUCAUGUGGCCUUAAUUGGCAGGAGUUGGGAUUGCAGCCAUAGUUUCUUCCAUGGUAUUUCGUUAGAGUACAAUAAUCUAAAUAUUUUCAAUCUUGGUUAGGCUGUGCCUUUUUGUCUGUGCCUCUUAGCAUCUCCAGGUUGCUGGGUUGCUGGCUUCCCCAGCAAUCGAUCUGAAAUAUGUGAGUCACAAAGAAAACCCAGCAAACUUAUUGUACUGUUACUGUUUGGGUCUCAAGUUGCUAGUUGAUUUGCCUUUUCUUACUUCACUUUGCAUUAUAUAUAUAUAUAUAUUUUUUUUUUCUUUUCACAGCCACACCUACA